UGAGGAAUAUUGGUCAAUGGACGCAAGUCUGAACCAGCCAAGUAGCGUGCAGGAUGACGGCCCUAUGGGUUGUAAACUGCUUUUAUAUGGGGAUAAAGUGGGGAACGUGUUCCCUUUUGCAGGUACCAUAUGAAUAAGGACCGGCUAAUUCCGUGCCAGCAGCCGCGGUAAUACGGAAGGUUCGGGCGUUAUCCGGAUUUAUUGGGUUUAAAGGGAGCGUAGGCCGUUUGGUAAGCGUGUUGUGAAAUGUAGGAGCUCAACUUCUAGAUUGCAGCGCGAACUGUCAGACUUGAGUGCGCACAACGUAGGCGGAAUUCAUGGUGUAGCGGUGAAAUGCUUAGAUAUCAUGAAGAACUCCGAUUGCGAAGGCAGCGUACGGGAGCGCAACUGACGCUGAAGCUCGAAGGUGCGGGUAUCGAACAGG
rnacentral:rRNA from 1 species